UGAACAUUUGAUGGAGCUAAGGAACUUAAUCUCAACUAGAACAAGUGUCCAUAUUAGGUAGCACCUAAUUUGGGUCUUUGCUUUCCUAUGGCCUUUUUCCUAUUCUGGAAACAGUUUCUAUCUAUUAGCAUAGGUUGACAUCAAUGUAAGAAGCAGCAUGAAAUUGGGACAUUUUGUAGCUUUAUUAUUAUUGUUCAAUCUGUUUUGACUAGGCCAAUGUAAAUUUGUAUUUUGAAAAUUAUGUAAGAACUCUUUAUGCUGUAUAAAUUUUUCC
rnacentral:misc_RNA from 1 species